CCUGGCAAGGGAACCUCCACAGCCCAAGAAUAUUAACAUUUAUCAGGUGCCGGGCAUGGGCCUCAUGUGUUUUAUGUAAUUCAAUCCUCCCAACAAAAGUAUGAGAGCCAGCCCUGCAGCACAGCCUUCAACAUGAGCAACUCCUGCUCUCUGUAGCUCCAGCCCCAGCCUGGACCUAUCUUUCAGAGCCAUAAUGCUGAGACAGUCCCUGAGUCUUGGAUGAACACGUGAGGAGAAGAUGCUGUUCUGAGAGCUGCUGAUAAUACGUGGAUCCAAACCCACAGGCUUGAGCUGCUUAAUUGAAAUUCACGUCAAAAUGAAAUUCUGGUUUAGCUCAACUUGACUACUAUGGAUGAUGAAAAUAAAUCCCUGGGUCACACAAG
rnacentral:lncRNA from 10 species